CCAUAUGGUCGACCUGCAGGCGGCCGCGAAUUCACUAGUGAUUGGAAACAGGUGCUAAUACCGGAUAACAACAGAUGAUGCCUAUCAACUGUUUAAAAGAUGGUUCUGCUAUCACUAAGAGAUGGUCCCGCGGUGCAUUAGCUAGUUGGUAAGGUAAUGGCUUACCAAGGCGAUGAUGCAUAGCCGAGUUGAGAGACUGAUCGGCCACAAUGGGACUGAGACACGGCCCAUACUCCUACGGGAGGCAGCAGUAGGGAAUCUUCCACAAUGGGCGAAAGCCUGAUGGAGCAACGCCGCGUGUGUGAUGAAGGGUUUCGGCUCGUAAAACACUGUUGUAAGAGAAGAAUGACAUUGAGAGUAACUGUUCAAUGUGUGACGGUAUCUUACCAGAAAGGAACGGCUAAAUACGUGCCAGCAGCCGCGGUAAUACGAUAAUCGAAUUCCCGCGGCCGCCAUG
rnacentral:rRNA from 1 species